rnacentral:rRNA from 1 species
GUACACACCGCCCGUCAAGUCAUGGAAGCUGGUAGUGCCCGAAGUCCGUUUAGCUAACCUUUGGAGGCGACGGCCGACGGUAAGACCGGUGACUGGGACUAAGUCGUAACAAGGUAGCCGUAGGUGAACCUGCAGAAGGAUCA